GGUAGGAUCAUUAACAAAUCCGAGUGGCAGGGCCGACCGGCUUCGGCUUCGGCCCUGCACAUCAGUUCCGGCGGCGAUGCGCUGUGGCGCUCGCUGCCGUGUUCGCAACGUGCUCUGCACAAGUAUGUAAGUCUGACAAAAUGAGAAAAAAAAGUGGGAACAACAAAACAACUUUCAACAAUGGAUCUCUGGGCUCUUGCAACGAUGAAGAACGCAGCGAAAUGCGAAACGUAAAUGCGAUCCGCACAUACCUGUGAGUCAUCGAGUCUUUGAACGCACAUGGCACUUGCCACCUCGGUGGCAAGUAUACCUGUUUGAGAAUCGGUUCCAAUCCUGACAUCGCCUUGAUGUCGACAUGACCGCUCUCCGCCAAGGAGUCCGUCUAAAUGGAGACGAGUGAGGCUGGCGAGACCGUGCGUCUGCGCCGUGUGGUACUGGACUUACACGUCCUCGAGCACGGAUGCAACGUGGACGCACAACGGUGGAGCCGGCACAAAAGACUCACUCGAAUUGGUGGUUGGUUGGUUGGUUACAUCAAUCAAUCAACACCCGUACGGAUGAAAGACGGCCGUGAUCAACGAUCUCAAUCAGGCAAGGCUACCCGCUGAACUUAAGCAUAUCAGUAAGCGGAGGAAAAGAAACUAACAAGGAUUCCCCUAGUAACGGCGAGUGAAGCGGGAACAGCUCAAAUUUGAAAUCUGGCGUGUGUCAUGCACGUCCGAGUUGUAGUUUAGAGAUGUGGCUGCUGCAGGGUGUGGUCCGGGUCCAAGUCCGCUGGAACGCGGCGCCGGUGAGGGUGAUAGCCCGUGGGACUCGUGGCCGCUCCCGUCAUGGCACUGCAUCGACGAGUCGAGUUGUUUGGGAAUGCAGCUCAAAGUGGGUGGUAAACUUCAUCCAAAGCUAAAUAUUGGCAAGAGACCGAUAGCAAACAAGUACCGUGAGGGAAAGAUGAAAAGCACCUUGAAAAGGGAGUUAAAAGCACGUGAAAUUGUUGAAAGGGAAACGAUUGGUGUCAGUAUUGCCGCAAGGCAAGUCACUGCGCGUUGAGGCUGUGGUAGGCGCGACGCAGGAAGGUGGCCGUCCUUCGUGUUCGGCUUUAUAGCCUGUGUCGAGGGCCGCAGCGGCGACGCGGGGAGCCGUGGCACUUGUGCCGCGGCGUGUGACGAAAUGGUGCCAAACGACCCGUCUUGAAACACGGACCAAGGAGUCUAACGUGUAUGCGAGUAUUCGAGUGGCAAACUCGGGUGCGUAAUGAAAGUGUGGCGCGUGGGAACGCGGGCCUCUGUGCCCGCGUGCACCAUCGACCGACCUCGAUAUCUCUUGACAGGUUUGAGUCGCAGCAUACCCGCUAGGACCCGAAAGAUGGUGAACUAUGCCUGAAUAGGGUGAAGCCAGAGGAAACUCUGGUGGAGGCUCGUAGACGUUCUGACGUGCAAAUCGAUGUUCAAAUUUUGGUAUAGGGGCGAAAGACUAAUCGAACCAUCUGGUAGCUGGUUCCUUC
rnacentral:misc_RNA from 1 species